GACGAACGCUGGCGGCGUGCUUAACACAUGCAAGUCGAACGAUGACGCCCGAGCUUGCUCGGUCUGAUUAGUGGCGAACGGGUGAGUAACACGUGAGCAACCUGCCCUUCACUCUGGGAUAACCUCGGGAAAUCGGGGCUAAUACCGGAUAUGAGCUCCUGUCGCAUGGCGGGUGUUGGAAAGUUUUUCGGUGAAGGAUGGGCUCGCGGCCUAUCAGUUUGUUGGUGAGGUAGUGGCUCACCAAGGCGAUGACGGGUAGCCGGCCUGAGAGGGCGACCGGCCACACUGGGACUGAGACACGGCCCAGACUCCUACGGGAGGCAGCAGUGGGGAAUAUUGCAUAAUGGGCGAAAGCCUGAUGCAGCGACGCCGCGUGAGGGAUGACGGCCUUCGGGUUGUAAACCUCUUUCAGCAGGGAAGAAGCGAAAGUGACGGUACCUGCAGAAGAAGCGCCGGCUAACUACGUG
rnacentral:rRNA from 1 species